rnacentral:rRNA from 1 species
UACGUAGGGUGCAAGCGUUAAUCGGAAUUACUGGGCGUAAAGCGUGCGCAGGCGGUUAUGUAAGACAGAUGUGAAAUGCCCGGGCUUAACCUGGGAACUGCAUUUGUGACUGCAUGGCUAGAGUUUGGCAGAGGGGGGUAGAAUUCCACGUGUAGCAGUGAAAUGCGUAGAGAUGUGGAGGAACACCGAUGGCGAAGGCAGCCCCCUGGGUCAAGAUUGACGCUCAUGCACGAAAGCGUGGGGAGCAACAGG